UGCAGCAGCCUUAGCAAGGAAAGGGGGUGAUGGUUACCGAAUGUUCGGUGGCCACAAAAAGUAGAGGCGAUAGCGUCCCCAAACACACACACCGUAACGCAGCAGAGGGUGUUCCAACCACUCCAAUCCAAUCUCGAGAUAUAAAUCCUGUUUGUAAACGGUGCACCAGCUGCCCAGGUGAUAAUCAAAUUUGACGAACCGCUGCAUCGUUUACAACUUAACUUUUACACCAAGUCGUAGACCUUUUAACGAUUUCACAGUUUUAUUAAUUGAGUUCCUUUCGUUAUCAAUAUUAUAAUAUUGGAGUUUGCCAGUUUUGAUUGGUUUUAAAGUAACUUUUCAAGUCUGGUGAAGGUUAAAUUUAAAUUAAAGAUAACAAUGAAUAACAACAAAUGACUUUUGCAGUUGCAGAGAUAUGUGGAAUCGAAAGCAAAUUCGUAGCACUGUUGGUGAAGUCAACUGCAUCAUAGGAAAGUGAUUGAAACUGGAAAGUAGGAUGAUGGACAAUUCUUUUUGUUUGUUUCUUAACCGAAAAGCUUUUAACUUCCUUCUUGUAUUCGUUAUUGUUGGAUGUUUGUAUUAUUUUUUGUUAUUUCGUUUUUUGGAAGAACCAAAUGAAUUAACAUAGAGCGUGGAUAUAUGUAUUUAGCGAUGUAAAUGUUGGAAGCGAAGAGAACCAAUCAAGAAACUUUUACCAACAAGAAACAAACUAAAAUUGGUUUUAAUUUGCUAUAAAUCGAAAUGAGGCUUGUGUGCGGUGUGUGUGUCCCCAUUCUAUCUCUGUUGCACCAUCAUACUCACUCGCUCCUUUUCAGAAACCCAUCCAUAAACCCAUUUUCAAUCUCAGAAAGCUGUCUUAUUUUAAAUUGAGAUUUACAAUUAAUUAUUAGAGACUUCUGUACUCCUUAGAAAAAAAAGAAG